rnacentral:rRNA from 1 species
AUUGAACGCUGGCGGCAGGCCUAACACAUGCAAGUCGAACGAGUGGCGGACGGGUGAGUAAUGUCUGUGAAACUGCCUGAUGGAGGGGGAUAACUACUGGACACGGUAGCUAAUACCGCAUACCAUCAGAUGUGCCCAGAUGGGAUUAGCUUGGUGGUGGGGUAACGGCUCACCAAGGCGACGAUCCCUAGCUGGUCUGAGAGGAUGACCAGCAAAACUGGAACUGAGAAAGGGUACAGACGACUACGGGAGGCAGAAGUGGGGAAUAUUGCACAAUGGGCGCAAGACUGAUGCAGCCAUGCCGCGUGGAUGAAGAAGGCCUUCGGGUGGUAAAGUACGUGCAGCGGGGAGGCGGUACCAGCAGAAGAAGCACCGGCUAACUCCGUGCCAGCAGCCGCGGUAAUAC